UCAAGAAGAUCUUCUUAUUGUUUAAUAUAUUUAUCAUGUAAGUUAAAAUUAAGAUUCAGAGAGUCAGAUCGCAUCUACUUGUUCAUAAUCCUCCCCAUAUGCCAGCUACAUUAAGCUAAAUUUUUGUCAAAUGAAUAAAUUGCUAUACUAUCUCGCAACUUCUGUUAAUCAUGCCUACAGAAUCAAUUACAAAGAAUUAAAUUCAACAACCAAAAUCCAAUCUAUAAUCUAAAAUCAAAUCCCAUCCAACACAUUAACAAUUAGUAGUACAUACAUUCAAAACAAAUUUUUUUUUUUUUAAAUAAAAACUAAAAACUAAAAA
rnacentral:lncRNA from 1 species